rnacentral:rRNA from 1 species
UGCCUCAGUAACGGCGAGUGAAGCGGCAACAGCUCAAAUUUGAAAUCUGGCCCUAGGCCCGAGUUGUAAUUUGCAGAGGAUGCUUUUGGUGCGGUGCCUUCCAAGUUCCCUAGAACGGGACGCCAGAGAGGGUGAGAGCCCCGUACAGUUGGACACCAAGCCUUUGUAAAGCUCCUUCGACGAGUCGAGUAGUUUGGGAAUGCUGCUCAAAAUGGGAGGUAUAUUUCUUCUAAAGCUAAAUACCGGCCAGAGACCGAUAGCGCACAAGUAGAGUGAUCGAAAGAUGAAAAGCACUUUGAAAAGAGGGUUAAACAGCACGUGAAAUUGUUAAAAGGGAAGCGCUUGUGACCAGACUUGCGUCCGGUGAAUCACCCAGCUCUCGCGGCUGGGGCACUUCGCCGGCUCAGGCCAGCAUCAGCUCGCUGUCGGGGACAAAAGCUUCAGGAACGUAGCUCUCUUCGGGGAGUGUUAUAGCCUGUUGCAUAAUACCCUUCGGCGGGCUGAGGUACGCGCUCCGCAAGGAUGCUGGCAUAAUGGUCAUCAGCGACCCGUCUUGAAACACGGACCAAGGAGUCAACCUUAUGUGCGAGUGUUCGGGUGUCAAACCCCUACGCGUAAUGAAAGUGAACGCAGGUGAGAGCUUCGGCGCAUCAUCGACCGAUCCUGAUGUUCUCGGAUGGAUUUGAGUAAGAGCAUAUAGGGUUGGACCCGAAAGAAGGUGAACUAUGCGUGUAUAGGGUGAAGCCAGAGGAAACUCUGGUGGAGGCUCGCAGCGGUUCUGACGUGCAAAUCGAUCGUCAAAUAUGCGCAUGGGGGCGAA